rnacentral:lncRNA from 1 species
AGUGGAUGCGCAACAAACUGAAACUAAUCACCAAAUGACUGCAAUGGUGGCGGCUGCAACAACAGCAGUUUGAGGAUGAGAUGACACAAAACACAAUGACCUUAAACUCAAGCAGGUAACUCCCCUUCCUCUUUCUAGUUUCCAUGCACGAUGUAUAACAAUGUGUACUAAUUUCUUUAUAUCAGGCUUCUUGUUUAUUAACUUUUAUUUUUCUCAUGUUUUUCAUAUAUCUUGAUUCAGCUGAAAAAUGCUAUGCUUCUAAAACAUAGUUGGGAUAGAAACAAACUCUUAAAAAACAAGAAUUUGCAUGAAGAGAAUGUAUGUGUAUAUAUUUACCCUUAGUUGUUCAAAAAACAAUGAAUGUAGUGUCAUGCCAUCCAAAAAACAUAUAGCUGAUAUCAAAUCGGUUAGACCCUACAAAAAAUGGUGAACACUGUAUGCCAAGAAGAAUUUCUUGUACUGCAGAAACAUGAUUAGUACAACAUGGUUCUGUCAAACUCAAAUUUGUUAGUUGGUUAAUAGCUAGGAGGUUUCACCAAAAAUUCUGUCCAGUUUAAGUUUGUUCUUCACAUCUUCUAUCUCUUUCCUUUGUUUCUGUAAAGGAAAAAUGUUAAAGCAUCUAUUCAUUAUGAACAAAAUGCAUGGGCAAGCAAAACAGAAAAAUAUAGUGCUUCGGAAUGUUAUGCUAAACCACCUUAGACAAUGCUUCCCAUGAGACAUCAUAUUUCUUGUAUUGCAAGAGCCAGUCACUAGCCAUCUCAUAUUCAAUUGUAUUGCCUUGAGCACAAUGUGAUGUUGAUACUGCAUUUCUCUAUAAAAAGCAAAGAACAUAAAUAUGGAUAGAAAAAGGGUAGAGGUAAAUCAAUCGGCAAAUUGAAUUUUAUGGUACCAUUUCUGGGCGCAGCCUUUCAGGUGGGAUUCUGUCAAUGGUCAAAUGACCAUGGAAUUUGCGUUGCUUGUUGGGUUCUGUUAUAGUUCCCUUUCGGGCUCUGACAACCCUGCAAGUGACAAAGAGUUUUAGGGGUAUGCUUUAGGAAGAAUAAGAUGAUAUUAUCAUUAUUACAAUCAAGACAAAUAGAGCAAUGAAUGAAUUGCCUUCCAUCUUCAAGAACAAGGCAUCUCCUAUUCAACUCAGACAUUGCAUACUGAGCUGCAUCUUCUGUCUUGAAAAUAACCAGUGCUCUACCUGUCAUCCAAUGAUAAACAAAAAUCAAAUCAAAUCAUAAGUUAAACAUCAAAAAAGGCAUAUUAUGUAUGGGGAAUUUUUUUGUAACCAAAAUGACAGACCAAUAAUAAAAUAAAAUAAUUGUUAUAUAGUUAAAUAUGUAAAUACCAUAGUAAUCAUUGGAUUUCACUCUCUGUUCUAUUAGCCUUGCGUCAACCUUCUUUUGGAGAGCAGACCAAACUAUGUUCUGAAAAAAUUUGAAGAACAAAAACGAGGACCAUCAUUAGAGAAAAACUGAUAAUAUAAAAUCGACACCCAACUUUACUCCUAAGUGGGAAAAAAUAACUCCCAUCUCACUUCAGUUUGUCUGUCAUAUCCAUUGUGAAUCUAUACAUAAUCCAUUUCCACACACAAGACAUAGCAGACUUUAAAAAUAUGUCAUAACAAACUAUAUCAUUAACUCGUUGGAAUUUCCAUGAAGUUGGUUAGAAGCAUAAUUGGUUGAAUCAGUCGUCAACAGUUUAAUGAGCAAUAUUGACAUUGAAGCGAGAUCCCUUCUGUAGAAAUAUCCAAACAAAAAUAAAAGGAGUUGCAAAUCUGAAUAAUAUAUACCUCUACGUCAAUGGAGGAAAAGGAUGGAUCCAGAUUACUAAGCAAGACCAGAGUACCCAUCUCCUGUGCUUCCCGCAAUCUUUGGUCCCAAUGCUAGAAUUAUUUUUUUAUGAAAAAAAAUGCACAACAUUAAUUUCACAUUAUAUCUGUAUGAUACAAGCAUACAAUACAAACUGUUGUGAUGUGUUGAUAAAUUGUUUGAACUGAAUUAAAUCCAGUAGCACCGGGUGCAAGAUACCAAGAUUUCCAAAAAAGAAAAUGUGAACAAACUUCCAUAAAUGCUGUUUUUGUGUUCUUUAGGAAGAGAUACCAGCUCCUUUAUUAUCCAAUUAAGAAAAAGAUAUUUUCCAUGUAAACUUAAAUGUGCCAAAAGCCUAGAGCCAGGAAUCUGUAGCAAGUAUUAGAAAAGCAGAACCAACCUCCUUCUUAAACCACCUCCUUCUUUCCUGCAGAAACAACAAAAAUGAGGGGGUGAUUAUUUCUCUCAACACACCAAGCAGAAUAAUUAAUAUGUAUCUGAUUUGUUUUUCCCAGUCAAGGAUUAAUCCUUCACAUAAGUAGAUGAAAUAUGAUAACAGUUACGGAUGAGACUUACAGCAUCUGGUCUUUCAGUCACCUCAAUAACUCCCGCAGGUGUUUUGACUCUGCUCUCGUCCUGUCUGACUUUUGCCACUUCCUCGUCAAAUUCCUUGUCCUUAAGGGAUUUGUUAGGUUGACUAAUGCUCAAACUCCUAUUGAUCUUCCCCUUUUUAAAUGGAAAAGAAUGUGAUAAUGAUCCCUUAUCAUUCAACAUUUAAGGAGUGACUAAAGAAGGACUCCCAUCAUUUUAUCCAAAUAAUAAGGGAAAAAAGAACUUCAAUAUCAUAAUAUUUACUGAUGAAUCAUACUAUUACAGUAUUUGUGUGGUUAUUUUUCUCAACUCAACAAACAAGCAGAUAACAGAUGUUAUAGUGUAUCUAAUUUCAUUUGUCCCAUCUGGGUUAGUCUUGUAAGAAAGACAUUUAUGAUGGCAACUAUCACGGGUGACACUUACCGGAUCUGAUCUUCUAUUAGUGACCAACUUCUCAUCUCCAAGCUUCCUCUUCUUAUAUGGAAAAGAAUGCAAUGAUCUCUCAGCAUCCUACAUUAAUGAAGAGUAAGUAAUAAUACUAUCAUUUUUUACUAAAUAAUUAAAAUGAAGAGGAAAUGUGUAGAAUUUCGAUGAUAAACUAAUUAAUGAUCAAAAUGGUGAACCUUCCAGAUUCCUACAAUAUUGUCAUCAGUAUGUUACUCAACAAGCCAAGCAAGCAGAUACUGAAGCUAUGGUGUGUCUGAUUCAUUCUAUCCAUUUAGGAUUGAUCCUUCAAGAAACAAGUUAAAAUUAUGAUUUUCAUGGAUGAACACUUACU